rnacentral:lncRNA from 1 species
GCCUUCUCAGAAGAAAGAAUUCGACUGAGGGGCAUAAGGCAGAAGGUCAUGCUGAUGCAAGAGGUGGGUUCCCAUGGUCUUGGACAGCUCCGACCCUGUGGCUUGUGCAGGCCAUGGUUUGGAAGUCUCCAUGAAAACACCAUUGCACAUUUGAAAAAUAAUUACUGUUUCAUGAAACUGCUGAAAAUUGCAUUAACCCUGGACACAGUUUAUCAGUGCUGUAUAAAUACAAUUCCAAGCCGUGUCAACUGCUCCACAAGGGUUUGCAGCAAUACAGCUUCUGAUAUGUAGAAAUUAAGGAGAUCCCAGUGCUUCAACUUAUUUAAUGUCCCUGUUUCUACAUCUGUAAAAGAAAAAAUGUGGAAAACAUCUGUCAAGAAAGCUCCAGGAUCUGAAGUCUAAGGAAUCACUAAGAAAUGUACUGAUGAAAGAAAGGAAGUAAAUUAUUCUCUGAUUGUCACAACUGUUAGCAUUCCAAAUAUAUCAAAUAAUUUCUACCACUGAUUCUAUCUCAAAAUUAUUUCUAACCCAAAUUAAUAAGAGAUGUGUCUGGGAAUAUGAAUAAAUUAAUUACUUGUGCGAACCAGAUUAAAAUGACAACUGUGCU